GAUGAACGCUGGCGGCGUGCUUAAUACAUGCAAGUCGAGCGAACGGACGAGAAUCUUGCUGCUCGGACGUUAGGGGCGGACGGGAGUGAAACGUGUGUAUAACCUACCUAUCAGACUGGUAUAACUUCGGGACACCGGAGCUAAUCCGGUAUAAUAUUUUGAACCGUAUGGUUGAAAAGUAAAAGACGGCCUUUCUGUCACUUAUAGAUGGAUCCGCGCUGUAUUAGCUAGUUGUUAAGGUAACGGCUUAUCAAGGCAACGAUGCAUAGCCGACCGGACAGGGUGAUCGGCCACACUGGAGCUGAGACACGGUCCAGACUCCUACGGGAGGCAGCAGUAGGGAAUCUUCCGCAGUGGGCGAAAGCCUGACGGAGCGACGCCGCGUGAGUGAUGAAGGUCUUCGGAUCGGAAAACUCUGCUAUGAGGGAAGAACAUAUGUGUAAGUAACUGUGCACAUCUUGACGGUACCUAAUCAGAAAGCCACGGCUAACUACGUG
rnacentral:rRNA from 1 species